UACGAAGGGGGCUAGCGUUGUUCGGAUUUACUGGGCGUAAAGCGCACGUAGGCGGAUUGUUAAGUCAGGGGUGAAAUCCUGGAGCUCAACUCCAGAACUGCCUUUGAUACUGGCAAUCUUGAGUCCGGAAGAGGUGAGUGGAACUCCUAGUGUAGAGGUGGAAUUCGUAGAUAUUAGGAAGAACACCAGUGGCGAAGGCGGCUCACUGGCCCGGUACUGACGCUGAGGUGCGAAAGCGUGGGGAGCAAACAGGG
rnacentral:rRNA from 1 species